GCAGAAAAAGCUGAUGAAAUGAAGGACACAGGUGGCCAGCCCGACCUACUGGACGGCUGAGUUACAGCAUCUCCUCCAGGCCACCCUGAAACCUCAGCCCUGACCCACCUGCACCAACAGUGCCCAUUGAAUCCCAAUCACCAUGAAAAAUUAUGAUCUGAAUAGCCUGGAUUUUACGGAUGCAGACCUAUCAUGGUGUGAUUGAGGCAAUUUAAG